GCGGCGUGCUUAACACAUGCAAGUCGAACGGAAAGGCCCUGCUUUUGUGGGGUGCUCGAGUGGCGAACGGGUGAGUAACACGUGAGUAACCUGCCCUUGACUUUGGGAUAACUUCAGGAAACUGGGGCUAAUACCGGAUAGGAGCUCCUGCUGCAUGGUGGGGGUUGGAAAGUUUCGGCGGUUGGGGAUGGACUCGCGGCUUAUCAGCUUGUUGGUGGGGUAGUGGCUUACCAAGGCUUUGACGGGUAGCCGGCCUGAGAGGGUGACCGGCCACAUUGGGACUGAGAUACGGCCCAGACUCCUACGGGAGGCAGCAGUGGGGAAUAUUGCACAAUGGGCGGAAGCCUGAUGCAGCAACGCCGCGUGCGGGAUGACGGCCUUCGGGUUGUAAACCGCUUUCGCCUGUGACGAAGCGUGAGUGACGGUAAUGGGUAAAGAAGCACCGGCUAACUACGUGCCAGCAGCCGCGGUGAUACGUAGGGUGCGAGCGUUGUCCGGAUUUAUUGGGCGUAAAGGGCUCGUAGGUGGUUGAUCGCGUCGGAAGUGUAAUCUUGGGGCUUAACCCUGAGCGUGCUUUCGAUACGGGUUGACUUGAGGAAGGUAGGGGAGAAUGGAAUUCCUGGUGGAGCGGUGGAAUGCGCAGAUAUCAGGAGGAACACCAGUGGCGAAGGCGGUUCUCUGGGCCUUUCCUGACGCUGAGGAGCGAAAGCGUGGGGAGCGAACAGGCUUAGAUACCCUGGUAGUCCACGCUGUAAACGGUGGGUACUAGGUGUGGGGUCCAUUCCACGGGUUCCGUGCCGUAGCUAACGCUUUAAGUACCCCGCCUGGGGAGUACGGCCGCAAGGCUAAAACUCAAAGGAAUUGACGGGGCCCCGCACAAGCGGCGGAGCAUGCGGAUUAAUUCGAUGCAACGCGUAGAACCUUACCUGGGUUUGACAUGGAUCGGGAGCGCUCAGAGAUGGGUGUGCCUCUUUUGGGGUCGGUUCACAGGUGGUGCAUGGCUGUCGUCAGCUCGUGUCGUGAGAUGUUGGGUUAAGUCCCGCAACGAGCGCAACCCUUGUUCACUGUUGCCAGCACGUUAUGGUGGGGACUCAGUGGAGACCGCCGGGGUCAACUCGGAGGAAGGUGGGGAUGACGUCAAGUCAUCAUGCCCCUUAUGUCCAGGGCUUCACGCAUGCUACAAUGGCUGGUACAGAGAGUGGCGAGCCUGUGAGGGUGAGCGAAUCUCGGAAAGCCGGUCUCAGUUCGGAUUGGGGUCUGCAACUCGACCUCAUGAAGUCGGAGCCGCUAGUAAUCGCAGAUCAGCAACGCUGCGGUGAAUACGUUCCCGGGGCUUGUACACACCGCCCGUCAAGUCAUGAAAGUUGGUAACACCCGAAGCCGGUGGCCUAACCGUUGUGGGGGAGCCGUCGAAGGUGGGACUGGUGAUUAG
rnacentral:rRNA from 1 species